rnacentral:tRNA from 1 species
CCCUGGGUGGCUCAGUCGGUUGAGCGUCCGACUUUGGCUCAGGUCAUGAUCUCGCAGUUCGUGGGUUCGAGCCCCACGUCAGGCU